rnacentral:rRNA from 1 species
GCUGGCGGUUGCACACAUGUUAUCGAACGAAUGAGAAUUACCUUGCUAAAUCAAGUUAGUGGCAACGAGUACACGUGGGAAUCUACCCAGUAGUACGGAAUAACAGUUGGAAACGAUUGCUAAUACCGUAUAGUAUCGAGAGAUUAAAGAUUUAUCGCUACUGGAUGAGCCCGCGUCAGAUUAGGUAGUUGGUGGGGUAAUGGCCUACCAAGCCAAAGAUCUGUAGCUGGUCUGAGAGGAUGAUCAGCCACACUGGAACUGAGACACGGUCCAGACUCCUACGGGAGGCAGCAGUGAGGAAUAUUGGACAAUGGGCGAAAGCCUGAUCCAGCAAUACCGCGUGAGUGAAGAAGGCCUUCGGGUUGUAAAGCUCUUUCAGCACGGGAAAAUAAUGAUGGUA